rnacentral:rRNA from 1 species
CGGAAGGAUCAUUAAUGAAUUUUGAUGGGGGUUGUUGCUGGCCUUUUCGUCUGAGAGGCAUGUUGUGCACGCCCUGAUCGUCAUCCAUCUUACACCUGUGCACUCUCUGUAGGAUUGGCUUGUGGUGUGGAGUGCUUGUGCAUUCUAUGCUGUGUUGCCUUUCCUAUGUCUUAACUCUACAAACUACUGUAUAUUGCAGAAUGUUAAUUGCAUUAAAUGCAUUUAUUGUACAACUUUCAGCAACGGAUCUCUUGGCUCUCGCAUCGAUGAAGAACGCAGCGAAAUGCGAUAAGUAAUGUGAAUUGCAGAAUUCAGUGAAUCAUCGAAUCUUUGAACGCACCUUGCGCUCCUUGGUAUUCCGAGGAGCAUGCCUGUUUGAGUGUCAUGGAACUAUCAACUCUAGUUGCUUGUGUAAUCAGAGUUGGAUGUGGAGGUUGUUUGCUGGGCCCACUUUGGUGUUCAGCUCCUCUUAAAUUUAUUAGCUUGAGCUCUUUGAGUGGAUUGGCUUUGGUGUGAUAAUUGUCUGCACCAUGCUGUGAAGCUAGGCUUUGGCUUUGAAUGUGUCCUCCCCCCUCUGGGGUGUGAGACAAUUAACCCUUGGACCUCAAAUCAGGUAGGAUUACCCGCUGAACUUAAGCAUAUCAAUAAGCGGAGGAAAAGAAACUAACAAGGAUUCCCCUAG